UACGAAGGGGGCUAGCGUUGCUCGGAAUCACUGGGCGUAAAGCGCACGUAGGCGGAUUGUUAAGUCAGGGGUGAAAUCCUGGAGCUCAACUCCAGAACUGCCUUUGAUACUGGCGAGUCUCGAGUCCGGGAGAGGUGAGUGGAACUGCGAGUGUAGAGGUGAAAUUCGUAGAUAUUCGCAAGAACACCAGUGGCGAAGGCGGCUCACUGGCCCGGUACUGACGCUGAGGUGCGAAAGCGUGGGGAGC
rnacentral:rRNA from 1 species